rnacentral:rRNA from 1 species
UUAAGUUAUUAAGGGCGCACGGUGGAUGCCUUGGCACUAGAAGCCGAUGAAGGACGUUACUAACGACGAUAUGCUUUGGGGAGCUGUAAGUAAGCUUUGAUCCAGAGAUUUCCGAAUGGGGAAACCCAGCAUGAGUUAUGUCAUGUUAUCGAUAUGUGAAUACAUAGCAUAUCAGAAGGCACACCCGGAGAACUGAAACAUCUUAGUACCCGGAGGAAGAGAAAGAAAAUUCGAUUCCCUUAGUAGCGGCGAGCGAAACGGGAAGAGCCCAAACCAACAAGCUUGCUUGUUGGGGUUGUAGGACACUCUAUACGGAGUUACAAAGGACGACAUUAGACGAAUCAUCUGGAAAGAUGAAUCAAAGAAGGUAAUAAUCCUGUAGUCGAAAAUGUUGUCUCUCUUGAGUGGAUCCUGAGUACGACGGAGCACGUGAAAUUCCGUCGGAAUCUGGGAGGACCAUCUCCUAAGGCUAAAUACUCUCUAGUGACCGAUAGUGAACCAGUACCGUGGGGAAAGGUGAAAAGCACCCCGAAGGGGAGUGAAAUAGAACCUGAAACCGUGUGCUUACAAGUAGUCAGAGCCCGUUAAUGGGUGAUGGCGUGCCUUUUGUAGAAUGAACCGGCGAGUUACGAUUUGAUGCAAGGUUAAGCAGUAAAUG